rnacentral:rRNA from 1 species
GUAAUGCAUCGGAACGUGCCCAGUUGUGGGGGAUAACGUAGCGAAAGUUACGCUAAUACCGCAUACGACCUACGGGUGAAAGCGGGGGAUCGCAAGACCUCGCGCAAUUGGAGCGGCCGAUGUCGGAUUAGCUAGUUGGUGAGGUAAAGGCUCACCAAGGCAACGAUCCGUAGCUGGUUUGAGAGAAUGACCAGCCACACUGGGACUGAGACACGGCCCAGACUCCUACGGGAGGCAGCAGUGGGGAAUCUUGGACAAUGGGCGAAAGCCUGAUCCAGCAAUGCCGCGUGAGUGAAGAAGGCCUUCGGGUUGUAAAGCUCUUUCGGACGGGACGAAAUGGCAUCCGCCAAUACCGGGUGUCGAUGACGGUACCGUAAGAAGAAGCACCGGCUAACUACGUGCCAGCAGCCGCGGUAAUACGUAGGGUGCGAGCGUUAAUCGGAAUUACUGGGCGUAAAGCGUGCGCAGGCGGUUCGUUAAGACAGAUGUGAAAUCCCCGGGCUUAACCUGGGAACUGCAUUUGUGUCUGGCGGACUAGAGUUCGGUAGAGGGGGGUGGAAUUCCACGUGUAGCAGUGAAAUGCGUAGAGAUGUGGAGGAACACCGAUGGCGAAGGCAGCCCCCUGGGCCUGAACUGACGCUCAUGCA